GCGGCGGACGGGUGAGUAACGCGUGGGUAACCUGCCUCAUACAGGGGGAUAACAGUUAGAAAUGACUGCUAAUACCGCAUAAGACCACAGCACUGCAUGGUGCAGGGUAAAACUCCGGUGGUAUGAGAUGGACCCGCGUCUGAUUAGUUAGUUGGUGGGGUAACGGCCUACCAAGGCGGCGAUCAGUAGCCGACCUGAGAGGGUGACCCGGCCACAUUGGGACUGAGACACGGCCCAAACUCCUACGGGAGGCAGCAUG
rnacentral:rRNA from 1 species